rnacentral:rRNA from 1 species
GACGAACGCUGGCGGCGUGCCUAAUACAUGCAAGUUGAGCGCUGAAGGUUGGUACUUGUACCAACUGGAUGAGCAGCGAACGGGUGAGUAACGCGUGGGGAAUCUGCCUUUGAGCGGGGGACAACAUUUGGAAACGAAUGCUAAUACCGCAUAAAAACUUUAAACACAAGUUUUAAGUUUGAAAGAUGCAAUUGCAUCACUCAAAGAUGAUCCCGCGUUGUAUUAGCUAGUUGGUGAGGUAAAGGCUCACCAAGGCGAUGAUACAUAGCCGACCUGAGAGGGUGAUCGACCAAAAUGGGACUGUGAGACGGCCGAAACUCGUACGGGAGGCAGCAGUAGGGAAUCUGAGGCAAUUGACGAAAGUCUGACAGAGUAACGCAGCGAGAGUGAAGAAGGUGAUCGGAUCGUAAAACUAUGUUGGUAAAGAAGAACGUUUGUGAGAGUGGAAAGCUCAUCAAGUGAGGGUAACUACCCAGAAAGGGAAGGCUAACUACGUG